GUGGGGAAUAUUGGGCAAUGGGCGAAAGCCUGACCCAGCAACGCCGCGUGAGGGAAGAAGGUUUUCGGAUCGUAAACCUCUGUCCUUAGUGAAGAGAAAGAGACGGUAGCUAAGGAGGAAGCCCCGGCUAACUACGUGCCAGCAGCCGCGGUAAUACGUAGGGGGCGAGCGUUGUCCGGAAUGAUUGGGCGUAAAGGGCGCGUAGGCGGCCUGUUAAGUCCGGAGUGAAAUUCCUGCUUUCAAGGUAGGAAGUGCUUUGGAAACUGGCGGGCUGGAGUGCAGGAGAGGUUAGCGGAAUUCCCGGUGUAGCGGUGAAAUGCGUAGAGAUCGGGAGGAACACCAGUGGCGAAGGCGGCUAACUGGACUGUAACUGACGCUGAGGCGCGAAAGUGUGGGGAGCAAACAGGAUUAGAAACCCUAGUAGUCC
rnacentral:rRNA from 1 species